UGGCUCUCGCAUCGAUGAAGAACGCAGCGAAAUGCGAUAAGUAAUGUGAAUUGCAGAAUUCAGUGAAUCAUCGAAUCUUUGAACGCACCUUGCGCUCCUUGGUAUUCCGAGGAGCAUGCCUGUUUGAGUGUCAUUAAAUUCUCAACCUUUAUUAACUUUUCGUUAGUAAGUGGAUUGGAAGUGGGGGUGUGUUGGUUUCUUGAUUGAAACAAACUCUCCUGAAAUGCAUUAGCUGGUUGCCUUGUGCAAACAUGUCUAUUGGUGUGAUAAUUAUCUACGCCGUGGGCUUAUUUGCCGUUUAUAGCACUGCUUAUAAUCGUCUGUUUAUUCAGACAAUAUAUGACAAUUUGACCUCAAAUCAGGUAGGACUACCCGCUGA
rnacentral:misc_RNA from 1 species